rnacentral:rRNA from 1 species
UACGGGGGGGGCAAGCGUUGUUCGGAAUUACUGGGCGUAAAGGGUUUGUAGGUGGCUCGCUAAGUCAGACGUGAAAUCCCUCAGCUUAACUGGGGAACUGCGUCUGAAACUGAUGAGCUCGAGUGCAGGAGAGGAACGCGGAAUUCCAGGUGUAGCGGUGAAAUGCGUAGAUAUCGUGAGGAAGACCAGUGGCGAAGGCGGAUCUCUGGACAGUUCCUGACGCUGAGGCGCGAAGGCCAGGGGAGCAAACGGG